rfam:Diaporthe ampelina DA_912_scaffold_v01_102, whole genome shotgun sequence.
GAGAGCCGUGUGCCGGGAAACUCGCAUGCACGGUUCGGAGGACAGGAAGCGGAAGCUGACUGAGUCCUAU